UAGUAAGAAUGAAUACAUCACUAAAUAUCUCAAAAAAAAAAUUCGAAAGCAGACACAGCUCCAUUUCCCUUCUCCCCUCCGUCGUCCCCAAAUAUCUGAAUCUCUCUUUGCCUUCAAUGUGUUUAUUGACCGGAAAACCCCCAACAAGCUGAGAAGAUAAUGGCUUGGAGGCUCUGUUCCCGCCGUUCCCUCCUUUCUUCUAUUUGUCAAGUCCCAAACCUCCGACUGCAGCUUUCACUUCCUCCAAGAUUCGAAGCUCUGUAUGAUUCUGCUCUGAGCACUUCAACAAGUCAAAUUAGCUGUGGGUUUUGCCCAAAAUUUCAAGCUUCACGAUCAUAUGCCCGUGGUGGGCAUAAACCUUAUGAUCUCUUUGGAAAUGGACAACCUGGUGAUAAGGACUUUAGGAAAGCCUGGAAGAAAGAGAUUGAUGAAGAUGCUUCUUUAUGGACAGGAAGUGAAGAAGAAAGUGACAAUGAAAAGGAUGAAAAGAGUCAUCUGGAAAAAGAGAUUCGAAAAGUAAGACAGCAGGCAAGGGAGCACUCUAACCUGAUUGAUGCUGAUGACAGUGAUGAGCUGAGAAGUGUUUGGUCUGGAAGUGAUGAGGAGAAGUCUCUGUGGACUGGUAGUGAAGGUGAUGACGACGACGAUAUUCCUACUGAACCCUACCCAAAUGAAAGCAGUGAUAAACAUAUAGAUAAACUAUUUGAGUUUGAGGAAACAUCAAAGUAUCGGACAAUCUCAGAAUUAUUGAAAGCUGAGCAGGAACCGGAAGAAUUGUCCCCCGGAAAGCAAGCUAGGAAAAUUGCAGUUGAGAAUGCCUUGAAAAAGUUGAAGAAAGGGCCAGAUGGUCGAUACAUUAACGUAUGGGAGGUCAUGAGUGACUUAGAUAUUCUAAUAGGAGCAUUUGAAAAUAUAGUUUCAGGACCAGAAUAUGCAGAGCUUAGACAGGGAGGGCCUAAGAAAUUAAAUAUUCAGUUUUUCAAGGAUAUACAAGCCCGUAUGAGAGAUCCAAAUUAUAAGUUCUCACCUGAGUUAAAGUUGAAACCAAAGAGCAAACUAGUUCGUAGAAAGAAAUGGCAGAAGACACAAUCUAGGCGGAGGAAAGCACAAAAGCGCUAGGUAUUUCCUUGAACAUCCUGAGUAUUUAACAGAUGGGGUAAUUCUGUCACAAUUUUUCAUUUCAAAUCCUGAGGCUGUUGUAGGGAAAUUAUUUCCACAAGUUUCCUGCAUUGACAGCAUACUGAUGCCAUUAGAUCUCUUGAACCUGGUGAAGGUACACAGAUGCAGGAAAAUCAUAUACAAUGUAUACUGUUUUCAAUAUUGAACUGCUUCUAUCGGAAUUGUGGCUUCUGGUUUCCAUCAGAUCAUGUUCCCUAACUUAGAAUGGCUUGGUCCGGAUGGCUCUGAAGACUUGCAACUUGAUAAAGCGGCGCUCCUUCCUCCUCUGUACUUGGAGGCAACUAUGCUUGACCCUGUUGCUCGGCCUACAAACUGUUGGCGUGACUUGUGGAUAUUGACUUACUUUCCUUACAAACCAAGAAUUCCUAUUAUAAUU